AUUGAACGCUGGCGGUAUGCUUAACACAUGCAAGUCGAACGGUAACAGGCCUUCGGGCGCUGACGAGUGGCGGACGGGUGAGUAACGCGUAGGAAUCUGCCUCAUAGUGGGGGGACAAACGUGGGGAAACUCACGCUAAUACCGCAUACGCCCUACGGGGGAAAGCGGGGGAUCUUUGGACCUCGCGCUAUGAGAUGAGCCUGCGUUGGAUUAGCUAGUUGGUAGGGUAAAGGCCUACCAAGGCGACGAUCCAUAGCUGGUCUGAGAGGACGAUCAGCCACACUGGGACUGAGACACGGCCCAGACUCCUACGGGUGGCUG
rnacentral:rRNA from 1 species